UAGGGAAUCUUGCGCAAUGGGCGAAAGCCUGACGCAGCAACGCCGCGUGGGGGAUGAAGGCUCUCGGGUUGUAAACCCCUUUCAGUGGGGACGAAUCAAGACGGUACCCACAGAAGAAGCUCCGGCUAACUACGUGCCAGCAGCCGCGGUAACACGUAGGGGGCAAGCGUUGUCCGGAUUUAUUGGGCGUAAAGAGCUCGUAGGUGGUUCGGUAAGUCGGGUGUUAAACCCCCAGGCUCAACCUGGGGACGCCACUCGAUACUGCUGUGACUAGAGUCCGGUAGGGGAGCGUGGAAUUCCUGGUGUAGCGGUGAAAUGCGCAGAUAUCAGGAGGAACACCAGCGGCGAAGGCGGCGCUCUGGGCCGGUACUGACACUGAGGAGCGAAAGCGUGGGUAGCAAACAG
rnacentral:rRNA from 1 species